GAACUGUUGCAGAAUAGACAUCUGCGACACUUAAUGCGGCUGGUAGACCCAACAGUCGCAGGUUUUUUAGCUUUUAUUUCUUCAAUGCGCGCUUUCACUCAAAGUUUUUGCCCAAAUUAUUUCACUCCCGCUUUCUUACUUUCAGUCUCCCUCUCACAACUUCAAAACCCUAAAACCCAAUUUUAUUCUCAAUCUCACUUUCCCCAAUCUGAAACCUAAAUCUCUACCAAUUUCACUCACUGAUCUCUCAAUCUCACCACCACCAACCCUCAAUCGAAGCUUAUAUUCCCUCAAUCGGUUCACUUUUCCUCACUCAAUCGAAGCUUCGUUUCCUUUUUCAAGUCUCAAUCGAAGCUUUGUUCGGUUUGGAUUCACUCAAUCAAACAUUUGCUCUUUGUUUCAGAUUCACCACCUUUUCCUCCUUUUCGUUUCAGAUUCAAUCCAAGUUUUAUGUGAAACCAUUUUCGUUCGCUUCCUCACUGCUCCUUUCUCCACCUCUUCCUAUUUCUAGUUAGUGCAUUCGGGUUUCGCCGUUGGUGGCCGUUAUCCAGAGUUCUUCAACACUCUUACUGCACCUUCUCAAGGGACUAGAAUGACACCAAGGUGAUAACAUUGGAGAUCAAUUUAAAACUGAAUGAAUAGUGUUAGGGAUGCAUUUGAUAAUAGAUCAUGAUAGAGGGACGAACUUGAUUAACAUUUUGUGAUUCCAUGGAUCAUUUCAGACGGAAUAUUGAUAAAUACUAAAGUUAAUUUGAAGUACUUCAGUGUUUAUUCUUUUUCUAUGCAUUUGAUAAUAUUGAUUCCAUGCAUUUUUUC